GUACUCACCUGGCAGGGAGGCACCAUGAUCAGGCAGGUGGUUUUCCCAGGGCGAGGCUCAUCCCUUGCACCCCGGGUGUGCUAUUUUUUUUUAUCCCAGACAUAUAUACAGACU
rnacentral:snRNA from 13 species